UCCUCGGCGGGCUCGCCCGCCGCCAGGAACCCACAAAACCCCUUGCAUGAUGCACGAACACUUCUGAUUACAACCUAAAAUUAUCACAACUUUCAACAAUGGAUCUCUUGGUUCUGGCAUCGAUGAAGAACGCAGCGAAAUGCGAUAAGUAGUGUGAAUUGCAGAAUUCAGUGAAUCAUCGAAUCUUUGAACGCACAUUGCGGCCACGGGUAUUCCCGUGGCCAUGCCUGUUCGAGCGUCAUUUACACCCUCAAGCCUCGCUUGGUGUUGGGCGUCUGUCCCCCCGCGACACCUCUCGCCGCGGGGACUCGCCUCAAAGUCAUCCCGACGCGCGGUUAGGACGGCACUUUCGCAGCACAUUUGCGCAGAGAAAGCCGGCCAAACCGGGCACGGGGCAACAAACCUUUCACGACUUGACCUCGGAUCA
rnacentral:rRNA from 2 species